CAACUCUUGUUUCUCAUUAUAUUGCACAAAUCUUUCACCUUUUACUAAAGAUUUCCAUGGAGGGAGACAAAGUUGAGUCUUAAAUCAAUGUUUUGAGAUCUUGCAUGGGCAGGGAU